rnacentral:lncRNA from 1 species
AGCAAUUCUUGUGCCUCAGCCUCCCAAACCGGGAUUACAGAAAAUUCCUCCAGGUCUUCUGAAAAGGUUGGCAUGCUGAGGGACAGCUGAGUAAGCUUCAAUCAUGGAGAAAAGAUAAUAUCCUACAGGAAGGAGAAACAAUAUAACAGGAACCUGGGUCUCUGAAUGAACUUGUGAAGCAGAGCUACCUAUCCGCCCUGGGCCACUUGCCCACCUAUGAGGUGAUAGAAAAACAAACUUCCAUCUAAUUUAAGCCACUGUGUUUCUGAAUCUCUUUGUUAUAUCAUUUUAGCCUAUGCCUUACUAAUAUACUUCCUAAAGUUAAAUGAGCAAGUUAUGUAGUUACGUAGUUAACUAUGAGGUGUGUGUAUGUACAUACCAUUGUUUUCAUGCCUAAUAUAUCUGAUUCUAAACACUUAAAACUUCACUCUCUAGUUCCAAGUGAAACACAGGUAAAAUAAAAUGUGAGCAAUAAAUGGCAUAAAGACAGGUUUUCUGCUUAAACAAUUUGGAGUUUAAAAGGUCAACUGUGUAACUGUAGGACCUAUCCUUUUCGUAUGCCAAUUCUUCAGCCUUCCCAGCAGUUCUGGGAACUAUUAUGAUUCAAUAACUUCCUAUUUCUGUUUAAAUCAUCCAGUCAACUUCAGUUGCUUAAAACUAAGAACUUUGAUGGAUGCAGCAUACAGAUAGCCUUCAGAGGGUUCAUGAACUCCUUGAACCCUAUAUGAAAUAUUUCACACACACACACACACACACACACACAGUGUUUUCUGGGGAGAGGUUACAUAGCUUAUGUCACAUUCUCAAUGGAGUCCAUGAUAAGAUGUGGGCAUAUAUGUGAGAGGGGAGACAAUGCAAUAUUAUCCUUUCCAGAUACAAGUUCAUUAUAAACUUCUUCUGCUAUCCCUGGAAACACAUUUUUUUUUUCAUUAGAGGAAUUUAAUUUAAAACUGAACCAGAAUUAAUAGACUAGAUCAAAUAAUAAGAUGCAGAGACAACAUAAAGAAGGUCAAGAAAAAGGAGAAUGCCCAUGAGGAGUGGUGAUAUUAUGCAGAUAACCUCUUGUUGGGAGGGGAGGAGGACCUAUGCCUUCAGGAUGAGUUGAAGAGUAGCAAAUCAACUGACCAAAAAAUAAGAGUUUGGGCUAUCUGCAGUGGAAAGACAGAGAGGCAAGCAACCAGUAAGAUGGGGUAGAAGACUGUGGAUAAGGAGUUAUGGGGCCAGGUGUGGUGGCUCAUGCUUGUAAUCCUAGCACUUUGGGAGG